AUGUACGAGUACGACCCUGGAGGCAGCUCCUCGUCCCGGCCGCACGGCAAGGAGGAGCUGAAGCCGGAAGUGGUUCUCUACACGGCGUCCGCGUCCGCCGACCUCUACUCCUUGCGCGCCCUGCUGCGGGGUUACGGCCUGGCCAUGGACGAGCGCCAUGUGUCCAGGAGCAACAAAGCGCACCACGGCGAGCUCAAGUCGUUGCUUGCGGCUCGGGCCUGCGUCUUCUCCCUCCCGCAGCUCCUCGUGGGCGGCCCUAAAGAUGUUAGGCAGCUGCACCGGGCCGGCGGGCUGCGGCCUCUCCUCGACGGCGCCCCAAGGCCGUACGCCGCCUUCGUCUGCCAAGCCUGUAAGAGGGUCGGCUCCGAGCCCUGCCCAAAGUGCAGCGAGUCCCGCAACAAGAUGCUGGAUCACGGCGUUAUUGCCGACGAGCAGGACAAGGUUGUCCAUUUUUAUCCAACCCAAGGCUGA
rnacentral:rRNA from 1 species